rnacentral:rRNA from 1 species
UGCGUAACGCGUAUGCAACCUACCUUAUACAGGGGAAUAACCUUUCGAAAGGGAGACUAACACCCCAUAGUAUUGAUUUAAGGCAUCGUAGAUUAAUUAAAUAUUUAUAGGUAUAAGAUGGGCAUGCGUAUGAUUAGCUAGUUGGUAAGGUAACGGCUUACCAAGGCGACGAUCAUUAGGGGUUCUGAGAGGAAGGUCCCCCACACUGGUACUGAGACACGGACCAGACUCCUACGGGAGGCAGCAGUGAGGAAUAUUGGUCAAUGGGCGCAAGCCUGAACCAGCCAUGCCGCGUGCAGGAAGACGGCCUUAUGGGUUGUAAACUGCUUUUACAUAAGACUAACCGUAUAUUUGCGAAUAUACCUGAAUGUAUUAUGAGAAUAAGGAUCGGCUAACUCCGUGCCAGCAGCCGCGGUAAUACGGAGGAUCCGAGCGUUAUCCGGAUUUAUUGGGUUUAAAGGGUGCGUAGGCUGACUGAUAAGUCAGCGGUGAA